GACGCAAGCCGGCGGCGUGCUUAACACAUGCCAGUCGAACGGAAAGGCGCUUCUCUUGUGGGGUGCUCGAGUGGCGAACGGGUGAGUAAUCUGUGAGUCACCUGCCCUUGACGUUGGGCUAACCUCAGGAAAAUGGGGCUGAUAACGGAUCGGAGGUCCAGCAGCCUGGUGGGGGUUGGAAAGUUUGGGGGGAUGGGGAUGGACUCGCGGAUUAUCAGCGUGUUGGUGGGGUAGUGGCAUACCAAGGCUUUGAUGGGUAGCCGGCCUGGGAGGGUGACCGGCCACAGUGGGACUGAGAUAGUACCGAGGCUCAUACGGGGGGCAGUAGUUGGAGAUAUUACAGAGUGGGCGGAAGUCUGAUGCGACAACGCCGCGUGCGCGAUGAGGGCCUUCGGGUUGUAAACCGCUUUAUCCUGUGACGAAGCGUGAGUGACGGUAAUGGGUAAGGAAGCACCGGCUAGCUACGUG
rnacentral:rRNA from 1 species